UUUUAAAACCAUAAAGAUAGAGCUUAGAUCGGGCCCAAAAAAUCAAGCCCGACCCUACCCGAGCCCGUGCACAUUGUGCCCGAGCCCGACCCGGCCCGACACGUUAACUGUAAUUAUGAGCCCGAGCCCGAUUUAAACCCGACAUUUUUUAAAUACGUGGGCCAUUAUAACUGACGUUCACAACUACAAUUCCGAGCUGUUUGAGCUACAGAAAUCCGUUUAGAGGACAUUGAGAGGACAAAAGAGGACAUUGAAGGCUGGCUAUCAUUAUUUCUGCCAUGGCAAGCCUGCUUCAUGUUCAUCUUAAAGUAUUUUUGCU